UAUUUGACUGGAUGCCCAACACAGACCACCUGCUAUGUUGAUAGAACAAAGAAAUGAGCUUGAAGAGUGCUAAAAUCCUGAAGGAAGAGAGGGAGAAAAGCCCAGCGUCUGACAUCCUCGGCUCCUUCAGGCAUACACAGCAUUGGCUGCCAUGAAGUUCACCACGGGACUGAAGUGAGAAUAAUUCUGCAGUCUGAGAGAUGGACUCCUGCCUAGCAGAAAGGCCAUUCCAGCAUCCAGGAUGCAUCCUCUGUCUUAAUCGACAGGUCCCCAGUGAGAAAUACUUCUGUAGAAAAGACAGAGGGGAAAACAUGAACAAUGGGCUUCUCCUGUCCUAAUUGCAAGUACAGCAGGCAUGCCAAGUGUGAAUUUGAGAGACAGAGGUAAGGACUGCUUCAUAAACAAGAAGAGAGCUGCUGAAACAGAAGGACAAU